CAGUAGCCGCGGUAAAACGGAGGGGGCUAGCGUUGUUCGGAAUUACUGGGCGUAAAGCGCACGUAGGCUGCUUUGUAAGUCAGAGGUGAAAGCCCGGGGCUCAACCCCGGAUGUGCCUUUGAGACUGCAGGGCUAGAACGUCGGAGAGGUGAGUGGAAUUCCGAGUGUAGAGGUGAAAUUCGUAGAUAUUCGGAAGAACACCAGUGGCGAAGGCGGCUCACUGGACGACUGUUGACGCUGAGGUGCGAAAGCGUGGGGAGCAAACAGGAUUAGAUACCCCAGUAGUCCCUGUCUCUUAUAC
rnacentral:rRNA from 1 species